rfam:Triticum urartu cultivar G1812 contig943449, whole genome shotgun sequence.
UACAAACUCCCAUUUGUCUUAAAAUUCUUGUUUUAAAUUUGUUUAAAUACGGAUGUAUCUAACACUAAAACGUAACUAGAUACAUCUGUAUUUAAACAAAUCUAAGAUAAUAAUUUUGGGACGGAUGAAGUAUUUG